UCCGAGGAUGAUGCAGAAAGUUAAACAAGAACUGGAGAGGAAGACUGUUGGCUCGUGUUGGGGAAAUGGCGAGGUGAAUUUCAACAAGUCAGAUAUGCAUGAUGAUCUCCAUGCUUUCCUCAUGGAAGCUGCCAAAUUGUCAUGUUCCCAUUUCUCCACUGGAGAAGAUGAUGACGAAGACAAAAAGUAUUAGUAGUUAAUUAUCAAUCUUGACCAUACAUCACUCCAUUUUGGAUAAGCAGCAAAAAUUAACCUUCAAUAAGUGUCAUUUUUCUGAUAUUUGUAGAGAUUGAUUCAGCUUAACACAGGCAAAGAUCUGAAAACUGUUGUGAAGAUGCCUAAUCUUCAGUCCUUUUACUGUUGAUGUUGUGUGGAAAUUCCACAAAGCCAGGAAUCUGACCAGCUCAUAAGUCAUCAAUUGAAUUCUCUAGCUCUUUCUGUUACUGUCAACCAUGUGUAUGUGAAAUUAUUUUUCUGCUGUUCAUUUGUUCUGAGCUGUUUGUAUAAAGUUCAUUGUAUACUGUUUAUUUUUAACAAGCUUGCAGAUCUAACUAACGAGGAAUUCAGGGCCAAGCUUAAAUGCCUAGGACAUCGAUGGAAACACAAGCAUGAGGCUCCGAAAGAAUUUAAGGAUCACGCUGGGCGUUCUCAGCGGUGGCAGCAAAUAGAAGGCAUCAACCAAAUGAAGACCAAGAAACUAGUUUCACUCCGACACAAAAGGCCAAAGCACAGGAUGCAGGUUGGGAUUAACAACCACAGCCUUCGAAUUUGUCAAAAAGAACCACGGGCUCACCACCGAAUCUGACUACCCUUGUAAAGGUGCUCAAAAAUCCUGCAGCACCAAGAAGCGUAAAAACCAUUCUGUAACAAUUAAGUGGUUGCAAGAACGUGACAGCUAAACAGCGAAAAAAAGCCUACUACAGGCAACAGCUAAACAGCCAGUAUCGGUCGCCAUCGAGUCUCUGCUGGCACUGCAUUCCAGUUUUGCUCUAACGGUGUAUAAAGGUGGCCCAUGUGGGACUAAUCUUGAUCAUGCGAUGACAGCGGUGGGAUAUGGAAGUGAACGAGGGAAGAAGCAUCGGUUAGCGAAGAACUCGCGGGGCGCUGACUGGGGAGAGAACGGUUUACGUGAGGAUGAGACGUGAUGUUUCUGGCAGUGAAGGAAUUUGCGGGAUGUUGAAGUUGGCUCCUUAUCCGGUUAUGUAGUAAGCAAGCUGCUACAAGUCGUGAAAUAAUUGUACAUAUUGUGGAUAUAGGACGUUACAGAUUUGUAUCUCUUGGGGGUUAGAGAGGUUGAUAUUUGAAAUAAGAAAGUCCAGCAAAUGUCGUGGAUCAAUGAAUAGU